rnacentral:rRNA from 1 species
GAUGAACGCUGGCGGCGUGCCUAAUACAUGCAAGUCGAGCGAAUGGAUUAAGAGCUUGCUCUUAUGAAGUUAGCGGCGGACGGGUGAGUAACACGUGGGUAACCUGCCCAUAAGACUGGGAUAACUCCGGGAAACCGGGGCUAAUACCGGAUAACAUUUUGAACCGCAUGGUUCGAAAUUGAAAGGCCGCUUCGGCUGUCACUUAUGGAUGGACCCGCGUCGCAUUAGCUAGUUGGUGAGGUAACGGCUCACCAAGGCAACGAUGCGUAGCCGACCUGAGAGGGUGAUCGGCCACACUGGGACUGAGACACGGCCCAGACUCCUACGAGAGGCAGCAGUAGGGAAUCUUCCGCAAUGGACGAAAGUCUGACGGAGCAACGCCGCGUGAGUGAUGAUGGCUUUCGGGUCGUAAAACUCUGUUGUUAGGGAAGAACAAGUGCUAGUUGAAUAAGCUGGCACCUUGACGGUACCUAACCAGAAAGCCACGGCUAACUACGUGCCAGCCGCCGCCGUAA